rnacentral:rRNA from 1 species
GACGAACGCUGGCGGCGUGCCUAAUACAUGCAAGUCGAGCGAGUCUGCCUUGAAGAUCGGAGUGCUUGCACUCUGUGAAACAAGAUACAGGCUAGCGGCGGACGGGUGAGUAACACGUGGGUAACCUGCCCAAGAGAUCGGGAUAACACCUGGAAACAGAUGCUAAUACCGGAUAACAACAGAUGAUGCCUAUCAACUGUUUAAAAGAUGGUUCUGCUAUCACUCUUGGAUGGACCUGCGGUGCAUUAGCUAGUUGGUAGGGUAACGGCCUACCAAGGCGAUGAUGCAUAGCCGAGUUGAGAGACUGAUCGGCCACAUUGGGACUGAGACACGGCCCAAACUCCUACGGAGGCAGCAGUAGGGAAUCUUCCACAAUGGACGCAAGUCUGAUGGAGCAACGCCGCGUGAGUGAAGAAGGGUUUCGGCUCGUAAAGCUCUGUUGUUGGUGAAGAAGGACAGGGGUAGUAACUGACCUUUGUUUGACGGUAAUCAAUUAGAAAGUCACGGCUAACUACGUG